rnacentral:rRNA from 1 species
AUUGAACGCUGGCGGCAGGCCUAACACAUGCAAGUCGAACGGUAACAGGAAGAAGCUUGCUUCUUUGCUGACGAGUGGCGGACGGGUGAGUAAUGUCUGUGAAACUGCCUGAUGGCGGGGGAUAACUACUGGAAACGGUAGCUAAUACCGCAUAACGUCGCAAGACCAAAGAGGGGGACCUUCGGGCCUCUUGCCAUCGGCUUUUCCCAGAUUGGAUUAGCUAGUAGGUGGGGUAACGGCUCACCUAGGCGACGAUCCCUAGCUGGUCUGAGAGGAUGACCAGCCACACUGGAACUGAGACACGGUCCAGACUCCUACGGGAGGCAGCAGUGGGGAAUAUUGCACAAUGGGCGCAAGCCUGAUGCAGCCAUGCCGCGUGUAUGAAGAAGGCCUUCGGGUUGUAAAGUACUUUCAGCGGGGAGGAAGGGAGUAAAGUUAAUACCUUUGCUCAUUGACGUUACCCGCAGAAGAAGCACCGGCUAACUCCGUG